CCUACGGGUGGCAGCAGUGAGGAAUAUUGGUCAAUGGGCGCGAGCCUGAACCAGCCAAGUAGCGUGAAGGAUGACUGCCCUACGGGUUGUAAACUUCUUUUAUAAAGGAGUAAAGUGAGGCACGUGUGCCUUUUUUUAUGUACUUUAUGAAUAAGGAUCGGCUAACUCCGUUCCAGCAGCGGCGGUAAUACGGAGGAUCCGAGCGUUAUCCGGAUUUGUUGGGUUUAAAGGGAGCGUAGAUGGGUUGUUAAGUCAGGUGUGAAAGUUUGCGGCUCAACCGGAAAAUUGCAAUUGAUACUGGAAGGCUUGAGUACAGUUGAGGGAGGCGGAAUUCGUGGUGUAGCGGUGAAAUGCUUAGAUAUCACGAAGAACUCCGAUUGCGAAGGCAGCUUACUAAACUGCCACUGACAUUGAUGCUCGAAAGUGUGGGUAUCAAACAGGAUUAGAUACCCGGGUAGUC
rnacentral:rRNA from 1 species